rnacentral:lncRNA from 1 species
GCCCAAGCAGGGCUGUUAGGACACUGAGAACAUUCCCUCCUCCCGCAGGAGAGAGAGGUCCAAGGUGCCCUACAUCGUGCGCCAGUGCGUGGAGGAGAUCGAGCGCCGAGGCAUGGAGGAGGUGGGCAUCUACCGCAUGUCUGGGGUGGCCGCAGACAUCCAGGCACUGAAGGCAGCCUUCAACGUCAAUAACAAGGACGUGUCGGUGAUGAUGAGCGAGAUGGACGUGAACGCCAUCGCAGGCACGCUGAAGCUGUAUUUCCGUGAGCUGCCCGA